UGAUCUCAUCAGGUAAAGGUGUGUUAAAUGGAAGGGCAAGUCUCACCACUGAGAGGAAAACAUCACUGGUCCACCUCUGCAUCAGGUCAGCUAUGUUGAUCAGUACUGUCCCAGGGAUGCUGGGAGCAGAGAUGAACUCCCCUGACCUGGUACCAUCUAUGGAGUUGUCAUUUUAAUAUCAGUUUAACCCCAUUACUGCUAUAACACAUAAACCAUGUUAAUAGAAUGAAAUGGAUCCAGGUUCCAUUUAUUCUACAUUAGAUUUACUGCCUGUGGAACACUUCUCCAAAGUGGUCUGAAAUCAAGAUGACUGCAGGUCUGAAUCCCAAACUAAUGGGGGGAAAUGUAUCCAUCUAAUAAGAUGGUAUUUAGAGAUAUGGAGAAAAACAUCACAAACUCUACUAUUGGGGUGAACAAAUUCCAUUAACAUACAUACGGGGCAGUCAGAAACAUUUUGUUACGUUACAGCCUCAUUCUACAGUGGAUUAAAUAAAUCAUGUUCCUAUUCAAUCCACACACCAUACCCCAUAAUGACAUCACAAUACCCCAUAAUGACCUCACAAUACUCCAUAAUGACAUCACAAUACCCCAUAAUGACAUCACAAUACCCCAUAAUGACCUCACAAUACUCCAUAAUGACAUCACAAUACUCCAUAAUGACAUCACAAUACUCCAUAAUGACAUCACAAUACUCCAUAAUGACGUCACAAUAUCUCAUAAUGACAAAGCGAAAACAUGUUUAUUUUUAUUUUUUUUUGCAAAUGAUUAACCGAAAUACCUUAUAUAAGUAUUCAGAACCUUUGCUAUGAGACGUGAGAUUGAGCUCCGGUGCAUCCUGUUUCCAUUGAUCAUCCUUUUAGAUGUUUCUACAACAGGAUUGGAGUCCACCUGUGGUAAAUUCAAUUGAUAGGACAUGAUUUGGAAAAGCACACACCUGUCUGUAUAAGGUCCCACAGUUGACAGGUCAUGUCAGAGAAAAAUACCUCCCUGACCAAGGCCCUUCUCCCCCCAUUGCUCAGUUUGGCCAGACGCCCAGCUCUAGGAAGAGUCUUGGUGGUUACAAACCUCUUCCAUUUAAGAAUUAUGGCCAUUGUGGUCUUGGGGACAUUCCAUACCGAAAACAUUUAAUGGUACCCUUCCGCAGAUUGGUGCCUUGACACAAUCCUGUCUCGGAGCUCUACAGACAAUUCCUUCGACCUCAUGGCUUGGUGAUGAAACAAAGAUUGAACUCUUUGGCCUGAAUGCCAAGAGUCACAUCUGGUGGAAACCUGGCACCAUCCCUACGGUGAAGCAUGGUGGUGCAGCAUCAUGCUGUGGGGACGUUUUUUAGUGGCAGGGACUGGGAGACUAGUCAGGAUUGAGGGAAUGAUGAACAGAGCAAAGUACAGAGAGAUCCUUGAUGAAAACCUGCUCCAGAGCACUCAGGAACUCUGACUGGGGUGAAGGUUCACCUUCCAACAGGACAAUGACCCUAAGCACACAGCCAAGACAAUGCAGGAGUGGCUUCGGUACAAGUCUCUGAAUAUCCUUGAGAGGCCCAGCCAGAGCCCGGACUUGAACACGAUCUGACGAUCCACUGAAUCCUCAGAAUUGAGUCAUGUUGGGGAUGGAUGAUCUUUGACAUCGUUCAGUAAUUGAGUCAUGUAGGGGAUUGAUGAUCUUUGACAUCGUUCAGUAAUUGAGUCAUGUAGGGGAUUGAUGAUCUUUGACAUCUUUCAGUAAUUGAGUCAUGUAGGGGAUGGAUGAUCUUUGACAUCUUUCAGUAAUUGAGUCAUGUAGGGGAUGGAUGAUCUUUGACAUCUUUCAGUAAUUGAGUCAUGUUGGGGAUGGAUGAUCUUUGACAUCUUUCAGUAAUUGAGUCAUGUAGGGGAUGGAUGAUCUUUGACAUCGUUCAGUUCUUUCUCUGACGGGUCUGAGUUUGUGUGAGUGGCGUGUUUUUCUUUCAGAGUUUGUGAUGAUUGGUUGUGGUAGAAGGUUCCUGUUGUCAGACUGGAGGAACUGAUGGUCAACUGGAGGCUGUUGGGUUCUUCUCUCAAUCAGGGGUCAGAGGUUGAGGGUUCAGUGUGCUGAUGUGUAGUUGUUGUAUCAUGGUUUUUGGUUAACAUGUCCUGUUGCUGGGUAAAGUUCAUGAUGACGUUGAACACAUCUUUAUCAAGGGUGCCAAUACUUCUGGACCUAACUGCACACUGUAGUGGUGGGGCAGCAUGCAUCACAUGUCUCCAUGACCCUGUGGGCUGAACCCUCAAUGCUGCAGAGGCCCUAUGCUCCUCUAGGAGGUUGUUGAGGCCCUAUGCUCCUCUAGGAGGUUGUUGAGGCCCUAUGCUCCUCUAGGAGGCUGUUGAGGCCCUAUGCUCCUCUAGGAGGCUGUUGAGGUCCUCUGCUCCUCUAGGAGGUUGUUGAGGCCCUAUGCUCCUCUAGGAGGCUGUUGAGGCCCUAUGCUCCUCUAGGAGGCUGUUGAGGCCCUAUGCUCCUCUAGGAGGCUGUUGAGGCCCUAUGCUCCUCUAGGAGGCUGUUGAGGCCCUAUGCUCCUCUAGGAGGUUGUUGAGGUCCUAUGCUCCUCUAGGAGGUUGUUGAGGCCCUAUGCUCCUCUAGGAGGUUGUUGAGGUCCUCUGCUCCUCUAGGAACUAAAAGAGAAGUAAGUCAUAUGUCACCACCACCCAAUAUGACUUCAUACAUCUCCAGCUUAUUGAAAUUACAGCCUGAAAACUCAGUGUCUUUUUUCCCUUCAUGUUCCUGUACUCACUCAGGUUGUACCAUUGAUAUAAAAAGCAUUUGACACAACUGUUGUGUUAAAUGGGUUGUACAACCCGAGAGGGUAUGUGGACAAUAUGUGUUUGUUUUCAGGUUGAAGUUGUCCCCCAUCCAGCCCUCCUCUAGAGGAGUGAGGAGAAUGAUAUCAACUCAUGUGUUUCCAGGUUACUUCAGUAUGAUCCUAUGAACCAAUCUGAAGUCAGAUGGGGCUUCUACAUGAAACAGGACAUUUCAUUGAUAGGACCGUGGGAAAGGUGGGUCUCCAUCAACCAUGUUAGAAACUGAUUGACAUCAUCAACCAUAUUAACAAGUGUGUGAACAUAUUCAUAUUCAGUAUGGAAAAGUACCUGAGGAAAUAAAACACAUUUUAUGAAACCCAUGAGAGAUAUAUUUAUAAUGUAUAUUUAUCCUUCAAAGAGCGACUACUUUGUGAGGUUCAGCCUUUCGUUGGUGAAUGUUCUCAGAAAGGGGGACAUUGGGGAAUCUGAAUAGAUAAGACCUGACAAAAUACUACCUCUAUGUCCUGUGUUCUACAUCCUGGGUAUUACUGUCAUCACCACAGCAGAUAACUGUGUUCUACAUCCUGGGUAUUACUGUCAUCACCUCAGCAGAUAGAUAACUGUGUUCUACAUCCUGGGUAUUACUGUCAUCACCACAGCAGCUAAAUAACUGUGUUCUACAUCCUGGGUAUUACUGUCAUCACCACAGCAGCUAGAUAACUGUGUUUUACAUCCUGUAUUAAUGUCAUCACCACAGCAGCUAGAUAACUGUGUUCUACAUCCUGGGUAUUACUGUCAUCACCACAGCAGCUAAAUAACUGUGUUCUACAUCCUGGGUAUUACUGUCAUCACCACAGCAGAUAGAUAACUGUGUUCUACAUCCUGGGUAUUACUGUCAUCACCACAGCAGCUAGAUAACUGUGUUUUACAUCCUGGGUAUUAAUGUCAUCACCACAGCAGCUAGAUAACUGUGUUCUACAUCCUGGGUAUUACUGUCAUCACCACAGCAGCUAAAUAACUGUGUUCUACAUCCUGGGUAUUACUGUCAUCACCACAGCAGAUAGAUAACUGUGUUCUACAUCCUGGGUAUUACUGUCAUCACCACAGCAGCUAGAUAACUGUGUUUUACAUCCUGGGUAUUAAUGUCAUCACCACAGCAGCUAGAUAACUGUGUUCUACAUCCUGGGUAUUACUGUCAUCACCACAGCAGAUAGAUAACUGUUGAUGUAAGACUCCAAGCCAAACAUACUGCAAACCAACCAUUUUGAAUUGCAGGUUUAUUCACAGGGUCCCAGUCAUCAUGUGACUCUCUAAUGGAUUCCAAUGAAAACCUUGUAGACUGAUAUAGGACACUUUUAUCCAAAGGUGAAUGUCUUUAAACUGCAUUGUUCUCAUGAUGUGUGUGUAGCAGUGUGAUGUUGUUCCACUAGAUUACACACCAAGUUGCACACAAGGACCAGUUCAAAUAGGUCAAGAGGGGAUGUUAAUUAGUUUGAUAAUAAUAAUAAUUCAGUGUGUUUUUUUAUUUAAUUACAGCUGCAUAGAUAAUGUUAUUUUUUGGUGUACAAACACUUUUUCAUAUCUAUAUAAUAAAUACACUUGAUUGUAAAAGUGUUGUAUAUUUUGGUUUGGUCCAUCGCGGGUUUCUGUAUUUCUGUUCGCCCUUAUUGUUCUCUCUUGCCUGACCUUUGUUGGAUUCUGUAUUUUACAUUAUAGCCAUUAGCAUAUAUAGGAUUAAAUAUGAUCUGAUGUUGGUUGUGUGAGGUGUCUGCAUUUGUGCACUGGAGCAUCAUUAUGAGAUUAAACAACUGCUUGCUACUUGCCUGUUUGUGUGUGACAAGAACUGAGUAACAUGGUGUGACCUGCAUGUUGCAAAACUGUAGAUAACAGCCCAGCAGAUGCUUUGUCCUUGUGUUUGUAUGUAACAAUAUUGAGCACAUGGUGUGACUUGCUGUAACUUACAAAGUUGUGAUAGGGAGGGGUGGUCAUCACGAGGUUUAACUGAGAUGGAAAAAUACUGAACAACACAAUAGCAGGAACUGAGCAACUGUUCUAACUAGGCUGCGAUACCAGAACAGUAAGGAUCUAUACAUCGACGGAGGGAGGAAGAAGCGCCAAGAGGCGGGGACCAGCCUGAGCGCCUGCGAUAGGCUGGGCAAGUUUAAACCACGCCCAGUCUCUACUGUGAUAGGCCAACAGACGGGUUGGAACUAUGUCUAUCAUAAUGUGUAUAAGAACACUGUCUACGUACAUCCUGUCAGUUCUCUGUUCUGCCCUGCGUGGUAUUACAGUGAGCCCGUAUAUACGAAAGUUGCAUUUGCCAUUUAUUACUUAGCUAAUAAAAAAUACAUAGUAUAAAA
ensembl:lncRNA